rnacentral:lncRNA from 1 species
GCCUGCUCAGCCUCCCAGGAGGCUGCCUGGGGGCCAGGCAGGAGGGGGCUGGAGGUCGGCGGAGGGGUGGGGCCCCCAGGGUCAGGCUCGGCGCUCACCGUCCCUCUCCUCUCUCCCGUAGGACUUGCAGCGGCUGUGCUCAGGCGGCGCGGGGCUGCUGGGACCACCCACCAUUUCAUUUUCCUGGAGCUCUUAGAAGCCGCGAGCCCUGUCUGCGGGCAGAAGCCAUAGGCAGGAGGAGGCAGCCCCUUGGCGUCAGACCCAUGCUGCAGGGGCCGUGAGGAGAGGGAGCCGCCGCCACCGAGCCGCCAGACCCGCCAGACCCGCCAAGGUAACUGCAGGCCCCGCUGCCCCGAUGCCAGGUCAGGGCCAGGUGGUGACGGGGCUGGCCUUCCUGCCCCGGGCCGCAGGGUUUCUCCGUCACCCCUGGUGGGAUGGCCAUCCCAGGCACAGAGCGCUUCAGGCUCCCGCCUGUCCAUCU